AACGAACGCUGGCGGCAGGCCUAACACAUGCAAGUCGAACGCCCUAGCAAUAGGGAGUGGCAGACGGGUGAGUAACACGUGGGAACGUGCCUUUCGGUUCGGAAUAACCCAGGGAAACUUGGACUAAUACCGGAUACGUGCGAGAGCAGAAAGAUUUAUCGCCGAAAGAUCGGCCCGCGUCCGAUUAGCUAGUUGGUGAGGUAACGGCGUCACCAAGGCGACGAUCCUUAGCUGGUCUGAGAGGAUGAUCAGCCACACUGGGACUGAGACACGGCCCAGACUCCUACGGGAGGGCAGCAGUGGGGAUAUUGGACAAUGGCGCAAGCCUGAUCCAGCCAUGCCGCGUGAGUGACGAAGGCCUUAGGGUUGUAAAGCUCUUUUGGCGGGGAAGAUAA
rnacentral:rRNA from 1 species